UGUAUUCACUACUGUAAGUUGCUCUGGAUAAGAGUGUCUGCUAAAUGACUAAAA
rfam:Salmo salar isolate Sally breed double haploid chromosome ssa13, whole genome shotgun sequence.